AGAGUUUGAUCCUGGCUCAGAUUGAACGCUGGCGGCACGCCUUACACAUGCAAGUCGAACGGCAGCGCGGGGGGUAACUCCUGGCGGCGAGUGGCGAACGGGUGAGUAAUAUAUCGGAACGUGCCCUGGAGUGGGGGAUAACUAGUCGAAAGAUUAGCUAAUACCGCAUACGAUCUACGGAUGAAAGUGGGGGAUUCGCAAGAACCUCAUGCUCGUGGAGCGGCCGAUAUCUGAUUAGCUAGUUGGUAGGGUAAAAGCCUACCAAGGCGACGAUCAGUAGCUGGUUUGAGAGAACGACCAGCCACACUGGGACUGAGACACGGCCCAGACUCCUACGGGAGGCAGCAGUGGGGAAUUUUGGACAAUGGGGGCAACCCUGAUCCAGCAAUGCCGCGUGUGUGAAGAAGGCCUUCGGG
rnacentral:rRNA from 1 species